rfam:Pteropus alecto contig22435, whole genome shotgun sequence.
GUCUAUGGUCAUGCCACCCUGAACAAGCCAGAUAUCUAACCUUGGAAGCUAUGCAGGGUUGGGCCUGGUUAGUACUUGGAUGGGAGACCACCUAGAAAGACCAGGUACUGUAGGCA